ensembl:lncRNA
AGCCAGGAUCCACCCCUUCCAGCCCUCAUUUAAGGGUUGGCAGUGGAGGUGAGGGGAUCUCUGUGGAGAUCCCUGUGUGUCUGGAGCCUUCUGAAGAACGGGCUGUUGAGAAUGAUUGCUGUCCGAAUUCUCUGCAUCCCAUCACCUCACUGUGUAAUUACCUUCCCAGUGACAUUAUGGAUGGCUGCAGCCAAUGGUUCUGUUGGGUCCCUGCAUCCUUCAGCUGCCGUUUAACACAAUCAUUUCCUUUUGCUGGCUAUAAAUACAUUUGAAUUCUCCGACCUCGUGCUCCAACAUCGUUCUCAAAGGCAGAAUUAUUUCUUAUUCUGUUGUUCUUCAGCUCACUGUGGCCUCGAAACUCCCUCAGCCCAACAGGUGUGCAGAGCAGGAGGCUUGCAGCAGGCUGGGAUGAGGCCCUGGUAGGAGCACCCUCUGGCCCAGCCCCCCCAGUGACAAUUAAGUUGCCAAUUAGCAAAUUAUCGUGCCCGUGGGCAAGCACGCUCCUGGAACCACGAGUGCUGCGUGGAUGUUUGCGAACUCACUGCUGUGCUGCUGCUUGUGCCUUUGUGCAUCUCCUCCUGCAGCAGCUCCCGGUGUGUCUGUAGGUCUGCAGCCCAUACAGCACCAGGAACGUGUCCACCAGCUCCUGAAUCAGAUACGUGGCUCCUCUCAUUGACAGCAAUUUGCUUGCGUAAAUAAUUAAGACUACGGUCUCUGAUGACUUGCUCCUCGUAUUCGCCACUAAUCCCAGUCUUUUGCUGAAUAUCUGUUUCUUAAUAAUUGCAUCUGUUUUACACUCUGUUCUUUGGUGUACGAUCACUUAUUAGCAAACCUAUUACUGCUCAGAUGUUCUGCUCGCUGUGACCUUGUCCCUAAACCUCUCUGCCUCUCUUCCCUAUUAAAUCACCACACUGUAACUGUGCUGGAGUGGAAGGAAUUUACUGCUUAAAUAAUUUAUCUAGAUUCAGUACAGAAAGUCUUUGAAGAGAUUCAUCAGCUAAUAAAGAAAAUUGAUUCUGGAAGCCAAAGUCAAUACGGGGUUAGAGAAACACCAUCACCCUCAUGUGGGCUCUCUUCCAGAAGCCUCCGUUCGGGCUGUGAUCCUUCCUAAGCACCUCCAGCUCUCCCAG